CGGUUGCUCGCCCUGUUAUUAAAGGACCGGACGGCUGCUCUGUUUGUCACAGCUCUGCACUCAACUGACAAAAUGGAUCCCUGCAAGAAAACCGAUGACAAAAAGGACCACGGUGGCUGCAAAGACCAUGACAAAUCUAAGGAACACAAGAAGGAUAACGACAAGUGUAAGGAUCACAAGGACCACGGCAAGAAUGAUCACAAGGACCCCAAGGACCACAAAGACCAUAAGGACCACAAGGGGCAUGGUCAUGGCUGUCAUGAGGGUGAGCAUAAGAAGUAGGAUCACUGAUUCUGCUGUAUGCAAGAGCUUCUUGUGCCAGUUAUGACAAUGUGUCUUAUUGCAGUGUUGGUGCAUGAUGUGUCUUCAUAUUGUUCCUCAUAAUGUUCUAAUUUGUAACACUCAGAAAAGUAACACAUCAAUAAACAGAACCUACUGAAUUACAAUACCUUUUCCAGACAUAUGUUCUCCUAAAUAAAACUUUUAACAUCUACCAGAAGGGGUGUGUCA